UAAAAUGGGAGGUAAAUUUCUCCUAAGGCUAAAUAUUGGCGAGAGACCGAUAGCGAACAAGUACCGUGAGGGAAAGAUGAAAAGCACUUUGAAAAGAGAGUUAAAUAGUACGUGAAAUUGUUGAAAGGGAAACGAUUGAAGCCAGUCGUACCGACGGAGAAUCAACCUCUAGAGUGCGGGAUGCGGGUAUUCGGGGAGUUAAAACCUUCGUGUGCUUGUAAUUUCGUGCUUCUGAGGUGCACUUCUUCGUAUUGGUAGGUUAACAUCAAUUUUGGACGUUACAAAAUGAUCGGGGGAAUGUAGCUUCGAUUUUUCGAAGUGUUAUAGCCCUUGGUAGAUGUGACGACCGGGAUUGAGGAUUGCAACGAAUGCUUUCGGGCUAUCCGUCUGGCCUCUGGUGGUCCCCUUGGGGUCGAAAGCUUGCUUACGGCUUCUWGGCUGGCUGUCAAAAGGUUAGAACGCGAUUAUA
rnacentral:rRNA from 1 species